UACGUAGGCAGCGAGCGUUGUUCGGAGUUACUAGGCGUAAAGCGUGCGUAGGCGGUGUCUUAAGUUUGUUGUGAAAUCUCCCGGCUUAACCGGGAGGGUGCGGCGAAUACUGAGAUGCUGGAGUGCCGGAGAGGUAAGCGGAAUUCCUGGUGUAGCGGUGAAAUGCGUAGAGAUCCGGAGGAACACCAGUGGCGAAGGCGACACGCUGGGCCGUACCUGACACUGAUGCGCGACAGCAUGGGGAGCAAACAGG
rnacentral:rRNA from 1 species